rnacentral:rRNA from 1 species
GACGAACGCUGGCGGCGUGCUUAACACAUGCAAGUCGAACGGACCUUCGGGUUAGUGGCGAACGGGUGAGUAACACGUGGGUGAUCUGCCCUGCACUUUGGGAUAAGCCUGGGAAACUGGGUCUAAUACCGAAUAGGACCACGCGCUUCAUGGUGUGUGGUGGAAAGCUUUUGCGGUGUGGUAUGGGCCCGCGGCCUAUCAGCUUGUUGGUGGGGUAAUGGCCUACCAAGGCGACGACGGGUAGCCGGCCUGAGAGGGUGACCGGCCACACUGGGACUGAGAUACGGCCCAGACUCCUACGGGAGGCAGCAGUGGGGAAUAUUGCACAAUGGGCGCAAGCCUGAUGCAGCGACGCCGCGUGAGGGAUGACGGCCUUCGGGUUGUAAACCUCUUUCGCCAGGGACGAAGCGCAAGUGACGGUACCUGGAGAAGAAGGACCGGCCAACUACGUGCCAGCCGCCGCGGUAA